rnacentral:rRNA from 1 species
AAUCAACGCUGGCGGCGUGCCUCAGACAUGCAAGUCGAACGCGAAAGUUUCCUUCGGGGAACAAGUAGAGUGGCGCACGGGUGAGUAACACGUAGGUAAUCUACCUUUGGAUGGGGAAUAACAACCGGAAACGGUUGCUAAUACCGCAUAAUGCAGCGGCACCUAAUGGUGACAGUUGUUAAAGCGGGGAUCGAAAGACCUCGCGUCUGAAGAGGAGCCUGCGGCGGAUUAGCUAGNGGUAAGGUAAUGGCUUACCAAGGCGACGAUCCGUAACCGGCCUGAGAGGGCGGUCGGUCACACUGACACUGACAUACGGGUCAGACUCCUACGGGAGGCAGCAGUCGGGAAUUUU